rnacentral:lncRNA from 1 species
CAUGUACGGUCCCUAUAUUUAAUUUCGAAUAACAUAAUUAGAACCAUAUUUCAUAUUUGAUUGAAGGGAAACUUCAAAAAAAAAAAUUUAUACCAUUGGAUUGGAAUGAUUCAACGGUUGAGAUUAGUAGUUUAAGUUAUCCUCACCAUUGGCUCCCAUUGGUCGAACCCAUUGGAAGUAACGCCGUAUUUUCCUGAUAUAGGGAGUCAUCCUAUAGAUUCUACUACGCUAAUCGAUUCAUCUCUUCCCUCAAACCACCACAAGUCUCUCUCAUAUGUCGUAAUCCAUCUCAAGCCACCACAACACUAAGAUCCUCCACAAUCCUAUCCCAAUUCUGUUUCAACCGGCAUAGUUUAGAUUAGAGCAUUAUCUUAGACAGGUAAUCAACAUCUAGACCAUUGAUCUUAUUCAUCCAUCUCUCUGAUCUUUCUAAUACACCGCAAGCCUCAUAUAUCCACAAAGAUUUGAAGCCUUACGUUUCUCAAAGAUAUAACCAAAGAUCUAGCUUUCAUAAAUUUAUAAGUUUAGUCUUCCCUAAUUGCCUCAUCAGAUAGGUUUGUUAAAUAGCUAGGAUUGCAUGUUCUUAUUAUCAUUUUUAUCCUUAUUCUAAAGAUCUAGAUUUGGUUAACUUUUACAGCUACCAACUCUGAUGGAAGCAAAGAAGCAGUCAACACAGCUCAACCAGCCACAACAACCGCCACAACAAUUAGCGGUCAGCACAGCUCAGCCAGCCACAUCAAUAAGCACUCAAGGAAGCUCAACCUCAGGAGUAACUAAUGUAUACAAGCUAAGCAAAGCCGAGCUCAGACGCUACUAAUUGACACGCAUUGAGGAACCAGAAGAACACAUCGACCCAGACUACUUGCAUUAUUUGAGAGCAAUAGGUGCGUACGACUCAUUUCAGCAGCAGUCAGAACGAGGAAAGGGUCGUGGUCGUAAGAGUCGACGCUAACACAUCUACCUAAUAUUCCUAAUGUUGUGAUAUUUGUAUCACCACUGCUACGCUAAUCUUUUAUUUGCUUCAGUAUGCUAUAUUUGCU